UACGGAGGAUCCAAGCGUUAUCCGGAAUCAUUGGGUUUAAAGGGUCCGUAGGCGGGACAAUAAGUCAGUGGUGAAAGUCUGCAGCUUAACUGUAGAAUUGCCAUUGAAACUGUUGUUCUUGAGUCAUUAUGAAGUGGUUAGAAUAUGUAGUGUAGCGGUGAAAUGCAUAGAUAUUACAUAGAAUACCGAUUGCGAAGGCAGAUCACUAAUAAUGUACUGACGCUGAUGGACGAAAGCGUAGGUAGCGAAC
rnacentral:rRNA from 1 species